CGUUCGAGCAGCUUCUUACCAUGCUCUUCAGCAAUGCAAGGACUCUGCUGCCACUGCUGGAUGCGCUGGGGGAGGAUCUCGUAGAUGCGGCUACAGGAAAGGUGGCAAGCGACAGAAUGAGUGAGGUGAUCAACUCCCGCCGUUCUGUCCAGACUCCGGUUAUCGCUCACCACAGACCCCCUAGUCGGCCGACAGACCCCGAGGUUGCCAACCCCACUGACCUCCGCCGCCGAAUCCCUCACUAGACGCGGUACUCACCAUAUCUCCGCUCCCGGCGCACUCCUUCAGGACCCCGGCCGCGACCCGCGAACCUACACAGACCCCCUCAGCGGCGUUCCAGGCGGUUGCAAAGGCGCCCACAACUACUUCCGCUUCUGGUCACGCCUCCCAGGCAGCGUACUCCUGUUGCGCAGGCCCCGUGAGUCGUCUCCGCCGCAAACCAUUAGGCGCCGCCAUCUUGAUUACGUAUCCGUAUGGUGGCCGGAUCCAUACCAUCGCCGGGAACAUGGCUGCGCUCAAUCCUGGCUUUCGCGAUGGGGCCGCCACCUUGUCAAUAGAGUCCGUACGGUGGCUGCUGGUACUGUCUCGACGUACAGGUAACAUGGCUGCAUCUACUGCGUGACUUCCUCACAGAUGCCGUCAUCUUGGAAUCUGAUUCCGUACGUGGGUCGAAUUAGUACGGUCCUAGAAGACACAUGGCGGCGACCUAAUUGCGGAUUCCACAAGGGCGCCGCCAUCUUGAUGGUUGAUUACGUACACUGGCCGCUUGUCAGAGAGAUUCACAGGUAAAGCUGCCGCUCCCGAAACACUACCUGGAUCAAGUCUUAUUCAUUCCUCCAUUCAGUCUCUUUCUCUAUCCACAUGCGUUAAUGGGGCGUCGACAGGCUAUAUACCUUCCGCGGUGGAGGAAACCAGUUCUUCUGUCGUCUCCGACUUCACCUGCCACCACUCUUUCCGGAUCUCACUCCUCCCACUUGUCAUUCUUCUGCCAGGCCUGGCACGGUUCAGCUUCUAUUUAUUUUAUUUUUAUUUAAAAACAGUUCUAAAACUAACAUCAAAUCUUAUUUUAGUUCUAUAAGCUGCACAAUAAGCCUAAGCACAGUUUACUUACCCAUUUCUUUGUUGCUUAGCAUUUAGAACAUUUUCAAAUGUUAUUGUAAAUAAAGUUGCAAUGAACAUUCUUAAACAUAGAUCGGUAUGCUCAUUCCUGAUUAUCUCUUGUGAAAUAUGAUAUACAAAACGAUGUCACUCUGGUUAAGAGCUGUAAAAUGGAGCCUGGAAGCCAUUCUAAGGACUCCCCGCAAACUUGCAAAAAGGAAAACAAACCAAAACUAAAACACAACAGGAAUUUGCCUCGAACCUUUGAAUUGGUCCAAACUACAACGACCACACGGUCCUGGAAACCAGCUAUAUUUCACCAGUGCUGCGUCUCCUGAACAAAACCAAUGAACUAUAGACUCAUGCUGGCCAGCUGCCUCCAGCAAUAAUAAUUCCUUUAAAAGAAUUUGUGUAAUCAUCCUUAAUUUCCUUUUUAUUUUUCUUUAAAACUCCUACUCCCAUUUCUCUCUUUGGAGCACAAUCUGACUUUGAGCUGAAUCUGGGUCUCCUGAAUUGCAGUUCCUAUGCCCCAAUAAACUCCUGCCUUGCA